GUUUUCCUUUUCCAGAGUCUAACAGUUAACUUCACCCAACCAAUUGCUGUCUUUACUUCAAAAGGCCCAGUUAAAGGUAACAUGUAUAAUAAUAUGGUGAAAAAUAUAAUAUAAAUAAAUGUCAGAUUUUAGUCAUAGGCGUGCGCAGGCACUAAAAGCAUGUGUGCCCACUGCUCAUGUAUAAAUUAUCAACAUAUAUCUAAUAUUUUUGUUUUUUAACUAUUUACAUUUUUUAUAUUGGUCUUGUUUGCAUGUAUUUAAUCAUUGUGCCUGUGAUGGGGAGUGUAUGUUUAACAAUUUGUUGCAUAUGUAAUAAGUAUAUGUUUAGAGAAUCCUAAUUCAUUAAUAGUGAUUUUGCUUGUGUCAUAUUGGUACUAUUUGAAAUCUCCGUUGUGAAUACAAUAUUUGGAACAGUACUAGCACAACUCGUAAUUAAAGCUAUAUGUCUAUUGGAAAAAGCUGGAGCAAUAAUAGAUGGGGUAGUUUCUGAUGGAGCUACAACUAAUCGUAAGCUCUGGUUGCAAUUAGGUAUAAAUGGUGAGAAAGGAAAUAUCACUAAUUCCUUUCAACAUCCUUUGGAGUCUAAAAGAAGAAUAUAUAUGUUGUCAGACCCUCCGCAUUUGAUUAAAAAUGU